rnacentral:rRNA from 1 species
UACGGGGGAUGCAAGCGUUAUCCGGAUUUAUUGGGUUUAAAGGGUGCGUAGGCUGUGAGGUAAGUCAGCGGUGAAAUGCCCCCGCUCAACGGGGUGAAGUGCCAUUGAUACUGCCUUGCUGGAAUGCGGAUGCCGUGGGAGGAAUGUGUGGUGUAGCGGUGAAAUGCAUAGAUAUCAUACAGAACACCGAUUGCGAAGGCAUCUCACGAAUCCGCGAUUGACGCUGAUGCACGAAAGCGUGGGUAUCAAACAGG